rnacentral:rRNA from 1 species
CCUGAGAAACCCAAAAGAUCGAAUGGGGAGAUGCAUCGCUCUGAGCCUYGUGUCUGGCUUCCGUGCGGCGCGCGAUGACGGGGAUCUCGAUCUCGCGUCACGCCGCCGCCUCGGCAUGUCCGGCCGGGUCUGCGUGCACUUCUCCCCUAGUAGGACGUCGCGACCCGUUGGGUGUCGGAUCGAUGGCCGGUCGGUCGCCUGUCGCGCUUCCUCCGGGGAGCGCUUCAGACCGAUCCGGUCGACCGUCCGACUGCCCGGCGGUAUCGAACGUUGAAAACUGGUACUGGGCCGCAUCAAAUUUYUUGAAGUGCGUUCCUGGCUCGUCGGUAGGCCUACGCUCGCUCGGAUUUACGGACCUAGCGCCGUUGCCGGGCGCUUGCUGUGGCCUUUCGCCGACGAAGUCCUCGGACUGGCUCCUACCGGUCGGCGACGCUACUGCUUUGGGUACUUUC